UACAGAGGUCCCAAGCGUUGUUCGGAUUCACUGGGCGUAAAGGGUGCGUAGGUGGUCGGGUAAGUCUGAGGUGAAAUCUCCGAGCUCAACUCGGAAACUGCCUUGGAUACUAUCCGGCUUGAGGGUUGGAGGGGGACUGGAAUUCUCGGUGUAGCAGUGAAAUGCGUAGAUAUCGAGAGGAACACCAGUGGCGAAGGCGAGUCCCUGGACAACUCCUGACGCUGAGGCACGAAAGCUAGGGGAGCAAACAGG
rnacentral:rRNA from 1 species